ACCAAGGCAACGAUCAGUAGGGGUUCUGAGAGGAAGGUCCCCCACAUUGGAACUGAGACACGGUCCAAACUCCUACGGGAGGCAGCAGUGAGGAAUAUUGGUCAAUGGGCGAGAGCCUGAACCAGCCAAGUAGCGUGCAGGAAGACGGCCCUAUGGGUUGUAAACUGCUUUUAUAAGGGAAUAAAGUGAGUCUCGUGAGACUUUUGCAUGUACCUUAUGAAUAAGGACCGGCUUAUUCCGUGCCAGCAGCCGCGGUAAUACGGAAGGUCCGGGCGUUAUCCGGAUUUAUUGGGUUUGAAGGGAGCGUAGGCCGGAGAUUAAGCGUGUUGUGAAAUGUAGACGCUCAACGUCUGCACUGCAGCGCGAACUGGUUUCCUUGGGUACGCACAAAGUGGGCGGAAUUCGUGGUGUAGCGGUGAAAUGCUUAGAUAUCACGAAGAACUCCGAUUGCGAAGGCAGCUCACUGGAGCGCAACUGACGCUGAAGCUCGAAAGUGCGGGUAUCGAACAGGAUUAGAUACCCUGGUAGUCCGCACGGUAAACGAUGGAUGCCCGCUGUUGGUCUGAACAGGUCAGCGGCCAAGCGAAAGCAUUAAGCAUCCCACCUGGGGAGUACGCCGGCAACGGUGAAACUCAAAGGAAUUGACGGGGGCCCGCACAAGCGGAGGAACAUGUGGUUUAAUUCGAUGAUACGCGAGGAACCUUACCCGGGCUUGAAUUGCAGAGGAAGGAUUUGGAGACAAUGACGCCCUUCGGGGUCUCUGUGAAGGUGCUGCAUGGUUGUCGUCAGCUCGUGCCGUGAGGUGUCGGCUUAAGUGCCAUAACGAGCGCAACCCCUCUUCUUAGUUGCCAUCAGGUUAAGCUGGGCACUCUGGGGACACUGCCACCGUAAGGUGUGAGGAAGGUGGGGAUGACGUCAAAUCAGCACGGCCCUUACGUCCGGGGCUACACACGUGUUACAAUGGCAGGUACAGAGAGACGGUUGUACGUAAGUACGAUCAAAUCCUUAAAGCCUGUCUCAGUUCGGACUGGGGUCUGCAACCCGACCCCACGAAGCUGGAUUCGCUAGUAAUCGCGCAUCAGCCGUGGCGCGGUGAAUACGUUCCCGGGCCUUGUACACACCGCCCGUCAAGCCAUGAAAGCCGGGGGCGCCUAAAGUCCGUGACCGUAAGGAGCGGCCUAGGGCGAAACUGGUAAUUGGGGCUAAGUCGUAACAAGGUA
rnacentral:rRNA from 1 species